ensembl:lncRNA
AGAGGAGGGAGAGGGUGGAGGAGAAUGAAGAAAUGGGGUGGUGGUGGCUGCCACAAGCAGCAUCGCUAUAAAUCACAGGUCAUAUCCUGUAUCCCCAUCUUUGCCUGCUGCCCAGAGAACAGAUGCUGGUGUUCCAGGCACAGCCGGCGUGAGAGUACGCUUGGUACAGGGCAGAAGAAAGCAGACAGGUGGACCGGCCAGCGCCGCUCCCCACCCACCCUCUAUUGACCUCUGCCCCAGGGGUCGAGAGGAGAUUUCCGCGCCGAAACACCAAACGGGG